GACGAACGCUGGCGGCGUGCUUAACACAUGCAAGUCGAACGGAAAGGCCCUGCUUUUGUGGGGUGCUCGAGUGGCGAACGGGUGAGUAACACGUGAGUAACCUGCCCUUGACUUUGGGAUAACUUCAGGAAACUGGGGCUAAUACCGGAUAGGAGCUCCUGCUGCAUGGUGGGAGUUGGAAAGUUUCGGCGGUUGGGGAUGGACUCGCGGCUUAUCAGCUUGUUGGUGGGGUAGUGGCUUACCAAGGCUUUGACGGGUAGCCGGCCUGAGAGGGUGACCGGCCACAUUGGGACUGAGAUACGGCCCAGACUCCUACGGGAGGCAGCAGUGGGGAAUAUUGCACAAUGGGCGGAAGCCUGAUGCAGCAACGCCGCGUGCGGGAUGACGGCCUUCGGGUUGUAAACCGCUUUCGCCUGUGACGAAGCGUGAGUGACGGUAAUGGGUAAAGAAGCACCGGCUAACUACGUGCCAGCAGCCGCGGUGAUACGUAGGGUGCGAGCGUUGUCCGGAUUUAUUGGGCGUAAAGGGCUCGUAGGUGGUUGAUCGCGUCGGAAGUGUAAUCUUGGGGCUUAACCCUGAGCGUGCUUUCGAUACGGGUUGACUUGAGGAAGGUAGGGGAGAAUGGAAUUCCUGGUGGAGCGGUGGAAUGCGCAGAUAUCAGGAGGAACACCAGUGGCGAAGGCGGUUCUCUGGGCCUUUCCUGACGCUGAGGAGCGAAAGCGUGGGGAGCGAACAGGCUUAGAUACCCUGGUAGUCCACGCUGUAAACGGUGGGUACUAGGUGUGGGGUCCAUUCCACGUGUUCCGUGCCGUAGCUAACGCUUUAAGUACCCCGCCUGGGGAGUACGGCCGCAAGGCUAAAACUCAAAGGAAUUGACGGGGCCCCGCACAAGCGGCGGAGCAUGCGGAUUAAUUCGAUGCAACGCGUAGAACCUUACCUGGGUUUGACAUGGAUCGGGAGUGCUCAGAGAUGGGUGUGCCUCUUUUGGGGUCGGUUCACAGGUGGUGCAUGGCUGUCGUCAGCUCGUGUCGUGAGAUGUUGGGUUAAGUCCCGCAACGAGCGCAACCCUUGUUCACUGUUGCCAGCACGUUAUGGUGGGGACUCAGUGGAGACCGCCGGGGUCAACUCGGAGGAAGGUGGGGAUGACGUCAAGUCAUCAUGCCCCUUAUGUCCAGGGCUUCACGCAUGCUACAAUGGCUGGUACAGAGAGUGGCGAGCCUGUGAGGGUGAGCGAAUCUCGGAAAGCCGGUCUCAGUUCGGAUUGGGGUCUGCAACUCGACCUCAUGAAGUCGGAGUCGCUAGUAAUCGCAGAUCAGCAACGCUGCGGUGAAUACGUUCCCGGG
rnacentral:rRNA from 1 species